UCUCUCUCUCUGUCUCUCAAACAGAAAAUCGUAAGGAAGAGAAAUACAGCUAAGUACCGUACUGUAUUUAGGGACACUAAUUCGCCUCUAAGUGGGCCCGUGCAGUUCAAACCCCAGGGUCAACCGUAGGGGAAAUCUUUCCCUCCUCUGCUUUUUCUUACCAAGUUCACCUCGGAAAAAUGAGCCAUUGUGAGCAUUUUCUCAUCUCUCUGAAAUGUAUCCUUUUGAGGACGAGAUGGGCCUUUUGUUGCCGGACCGUCUUCCCAAGGAACGCGGGAGCCAUCUUUCCGAAAUGCAAACGUCAAGGGAGACCCUCCCACCCUCCCGGUUCCCGCGGGGGGACAGGGGCCUCCCGUGAGCUGGUGUCAGCCUCCCUCCGACACGCACACUUCCUCCCGUCCCAGAGAGAGGCGGCUCCUUCCAACAAGGUGGCGGAAGUGGUCACCCCAGUUACCAGGUGGGUUAGGAUGAACCGUGUCUGACCGGUGGUGCCGUGAAAGGCCGCGGACUCGAGGACUAGUUCCCGCGUGUCAGGAAACACGGGUGACGCAGGUGGUGUCGGCUGGACUCCCUGGGUGGUCGAGUUUCUUCUUGAAAGUUCCUCGAUUGCCUAGAAUACGCAUCUCAUUCGGGCCUCUUAUUCACACGACAAAAGUGGUUGUUUUCUCCACUAUGUUUGUGGACAACAUUUCUGGGCUGGAAGAUUCUGUUUUUCAUUCUAUUUCUCCAGCACAUUCCACCCGGAACCUUCCAGAAGUCACCUGGCUGGCAUUCCUGCUCCGUACUACACCGCGGCACACGUGUCUCUGCUUGUUUGUGUUUACGGGCAAGGAGCCCAAGGGAGGAGGGACGGCGUAUAGACUGAAGGAGUCACAACGGCUUUGACAGUAAGAGGCAUGGGUGCCAAGGCCCUGGGGCAUCCUGACUCGCCUCAGCAGGGCUACCUUCGGAGGAUGAAACGUUCCUCCCCCAAGCAGCACAGGGCAGUCCCUAGGUCAGGGACAACACAGGCCUGUAUCUCUCCGCGGUUGGUCUACAAGCAAGACUGAGUUGAACGCUGCCAUUCCCAGCCUCCUUCCAACUGGUCCUGGCACAAGUGUGACGAGAUCUCAUCGAGAAGCUGGUUCUUCGUGAUCACCCCUGACCCAUCUUUGUGAAGCCCUCUCCCCACCUUCCCACCUCCCCCAUUAAUGUGAUCUGGGAGAAGAGGGUUUCAGCCUUUGUCCGCAGAGACUUCUUGUCUCCACUCAGAAACGCCGCCUCAAGGACCCAGGAGCUGAAUCUCUGAAAAGUAAUCGUGGAGAAAGAUCCGCCUCACCUCCCGGGGUCUCGGGGAGACAGGGGCCUGACUCGUCCCGGGCUCCAGGCAGCAAAUGCGACCCGACAAGGAGUGGCCCCAUCUGUGGCUACACACAGGAGAGAUUUCUGUCUUCGCAGGGGGGCUGAAUGUUUAUUCAAUAAUGAAAUGAAUUUCUGUGUCUUCUGCCUCUGUGAUGAGGCUGUCUCGGCUGGGAGGAGAGUUUGCUUUUCAUUGUAUUUCCCCACCCGGGGCUUUGCCGUGCACCCAGCGGUCCUGGCAGUCAGCGAGGAAGGUUGUCCAAGGCCCGCUGGCCUGGCCGCUCUGAGCCCGGUCAGCCGGCCAGAGCCCCUGGGCACGCUGCUGGCUGCUGGUUCUCGGAGACACGAGCGCAGAAAUUGAGAGGAUGCCAUUUAGAAAGGUUUCUAGCAAUUUUCACGGAGCAACUGCACAGCUUCGGAUCUAGGAAUACAAAAUUUGGGUUUGCAUUCUGUAAAUCUCCCAGCUUUCUCAUUUUUUUCAUUUCUGUCGCAUUUUACAAAAGUCCUCAUCCAUAAUGGAACGGAAAUGAAAACAAAACCAAACCAGACAAAUGAAAACCAAUGCCCCUUCCCCAGUCUGAGGACUGGAAAAUUUAGAAGCAGACUGUAGCAUGCGCCAGAAUCAGCCGUUCGAGUCCGAGGCUGCGUCCCCCCGACCCCCGUCUGCGUUCCUGGCUCGGCAGGCCCGGGUGGGGCACAUUUCUUUCCCAGGCGAUGCCACCUUGUUCACGCUGCUGGUCUAGGCACCACAUUCUGAGAACCACCCUCCAGAGAGUGUUUCAAAGUCCUGAUGCCUCUGGCUUACCUCUCUCUCUCUCUCUCUCUCUCUCUAAACAAUAAACAGUAAAAACAAAAACAAAAAAAAAUCCAAGACUGAGGUGGGCCAAUUUUUCAAGGAAAUCUGCAGAGACCAUGGCAUUUGCCACCUAGUUUGACAAGGUGACCAACGGGGCGUCCUGCUCUUUCCACAAACCAGGCAACUCUUCAGUGGCUUUGUCAGCAGCAGGCCUCUCAACUCGAACAUCUUGACUAGGAAAACAUUCCGGAAAAAGACAAGCAAGCAAGCAAGCAAGCAAAGAGCGGAGGGAGGGGACAGCGGACCCGCGUGGUCGGCCCCCUCCGGACGCGCGAACGUCGAGGAAGAUUUCUUCCAGGCUGAGGCUCUGGUGGGAGGGGAGGCUGGAGGGGACAGCCCUGUUCCGGGAGCUUGGCACCCAAGUUCCCACAAGGGUGGCGCACCACAGUCGCAGGCGGGAAAGCCGGGCUGGUUGAGGGCAUCAGAGGGAGAAGCGGCAGCCACGGGAGAGGACGCCUCUUUCCGUUCGCCCUUGAGCUUCUGUGCCCGGGACCUGUGGGCACCCGCGGAGUCCCGGCGCCUUC